rnacentral:rRNA from 1 species
UACGUAGGGCGCAAGCGUUAUCCGGAAUUAUUGGGCGUAAAGAGCUCGUAGGCGGUUUGUCGCGUCUGCCGUGAAAGUUCGGGGCUCAACUCCGGAUCUGCGGUGGGUACGGGCAGACUAGAGUGAUGUAGGGGAGACUGGAAUCCCUGGUGUAGCGGUGAAAUGCGUAGAUAUCGUAAGGAAGACCAGUGGCGAAGGCGGGUCUCUGGACAGUUCCUGACGCUGAGGCGCGAAAGCUAGGGGAGCAAACGGG